rnacentral:lncRNA from 1 species
GAAGCACCAUGCAAAAGGAGAUUAUUCUAUGCAUAUUUCUGACUUUAAUAUUCCUGAACAUACAUACUGUGAAUUCAAGGUAUAGACGAAGAUCAAAAACAUGGCAGCGUAGACAUAGAGGUAAUUUAUCCUUAACAAGCUUAUUUAUUCAACGCAGCUGCCACUCUAAUUGGGAGACAACUAUAUUGGAUUUUGAACUCCGAAGGCAUCAACUGCUGAUUUGAUGGUCGCAAAUUAAGUUUACUCGCGACGGGUAUUUGCGAUCUUCAGAUCACCAAUUGAUGCCGUCGGAGCUAAAAAUACAAUACAGUUAUCUCCAUUCUAAUGAAACUGACAGAAAACAACCUCAAAUCAUACAUUUAAAAUCUGCCAUGCGCCGUCUGCGAGUACAUUUUCAUAUAUUGGUGCGUUAUCGAAUUAAAACAAUGAAGCACUCAAUAUAAGACCAUCUACUAUCUAUCGAAAGUUGAUGUAUCCUGCCUGUACUGCUUUUAAAACAACGAUAACGUUAGAAUGUACACAUAAAGUAACAUGUGUUAAAAGAAAGUAUAUUUUAGUAUCGAUUAGAAAAUCUGUAUUCAAAAUUAGAAACAAUUUCAGCGAACGAUUGUGUUAGUUUUUGUCAGUUUAGGAUUAUGUACAUUCAAAAUAUUCUGUUUUGGUGUUUCAAUGUCUGAAAGCACGAACAAACCUAUUAAUUUUGAUAUUUAGUCUUACUGUUUAACGUUUCAUUUCGUUUUGAUUUGUGACCAUGUCUUUUAGGCUUGUAAUGAGAAGUUUCUCAUUUUCACAAUAGGGACAAUAAUUUUCUCUUUCAAGCAUUUUAUACUCAGUAGUUUUGUCUAUAAAUUACCCGUUUGUAACAUGUACGGCUUUAGCGUUUAGGAACAUCAUUUGGUUAAAAAUAAAUAUUAUGCUCCACUUAUUUUGUGUUUUUAAAUUCAUAUUUUCCCUUUUGUUACCAAUAAAUCAAAAUGUUCAACAAUUAUUCAGUUGAUUCCGAUUGUUCAUCAAGUGUUAAGAGAUCCCAUAAAUCUAUCUGAAUCCAGUUCAAACUGAAGUCCUAUGUAUAAUUUCUGUAAUUUCAAAUUGCUGUUCGAAUUUAUUGGUUUACUGUUCAUUUUCAUGAACAAACUCCUGGCUACUUUCUAUCGCUCACUUUUCAAACAACGGAAAAUAUAUGUACUUAUUUAAUUAAUAAUGUUGACAAAUUGGUAAUAUGUUUGCAUCCUGAAAUUUUAAUUUUAAUACAACUUGCAUUCAAUAAUGUUAUCGGAACUUUGUGAUGAACAGGAACAUCGAGUACAAAUUUGGCAACCAAAAACAUGUGGCUCAUUGCAACAAAGUUAUGGUUCCCUAUUUUCGUACUGUAACGUAGUGAUUAAAAUAAUAUCACGAAUGUCAGAUUCGUCGAAUCUCCUUCAAAUCUUAUUCUUUUUGCAGUAAUAAUUGAUUUUAUUUGACAUGCAAUAUCAAUGAUAAGAUCACUUGUAAUCAAUUUUCUCCUGAUAAAACAUUUUUAAUCAUUUCAACCACAAAGCUUUUUAUACCCCAGACAUAGAUGGUGUUAGUCGUAUUUGUUGCAACUUUCUGGCAAUUUAGUAGUUCCAAUGAUUUUCUACUUUGUAGUAUAAACUGGCCUUCUAAAUGUUUUCAUUCAAGCGUCUCCGAGGGAAGGGAAACAAACAUCGGGCACAUCAAAUCAUUAGCGUGGUAUAUUCGAUAAAUUUUUUCUCGAAUAUUUCAAUUCUUUCCAAAACUGUUUUGAAAGAGGUUUUAGCUGAAAAAUGUUUUGCGGACAAAAAUGAGUUUUGAAAGAAAAAUUGUUUUCGAAAAAGUAAAAGCAUAAACCGAAAGAGGAAAGAAGACUGUAGCUUCUGUUUUGACUUAAUUUAAUCUUAGGAGAAGAUCAAGUAAUAGAAAAUUUAAAGCAAUAAAACAAUAAAUUAUAUAUUUAUUACAUUGAAGGAUAAAAAGAAAAUUAUUGAUUUCCGUCAUAAAUUAUACUGACAUUGUGUUUUCAAUAUUCGUCCAACUACAGUAUUAUGUAUAGGCUAUUUAUGUUGAAUGUAUUAAGUUAAUUUCGAUUUUGAUACACAAUUUAUAAAUCUUAAUAAAUAAGCAAAGAUAAAUUAACAUUAAAAAUGGUCGGUCCAAUUACUGAAACUGAACAGAUUCACUGAAAAUACUGUCUUUUAGUAUCGGAAGAGAUUUUCAACAUAAAAAUCUAACACUUGUUCUAAUGUUUGUCUCUCAUCUGAAUAGGUUAAAAAAAUCAGCUCAUCAAUUUAAUCCAGAAUCAAAUGCGAAAAAUCGUUCAAGACGAUCAAAAGCAGUUUACAGUGUCCAUACGCUUGUUUUGGAGGCUCUAUAUCGUUGAUAUUUCAAGAGUUUUAACUCAUCGUUUAGAAUCGAAACCGAAUGUAAUAUUGGUAACAUUUCCGAAAUUUUUUUAUAAUGAAACAAACAGCAUAACUGAAUGGUCAAAUGAUUCUCUUUUGCUUUAAAAAAAAGAAAAUAAAUAAGAAAAUGCCUGUAAGUAUGACAGUUGUUAUCCAUUCGUUUAAUGUGUUUGAGCUUUUGAUUUUGCCAUUUGAUAAGGGACUUUCCGUUUUGAAUUUUCGUCGGAGUUCGGUAUUUUUGUUAUUUUACUUUUUUCAACUUCACAAACCACAAUCAAACGUUUGUUCUAUAAAUGAUUACCCUUUCAUUACUUCCUGGUAUGAUUUUUUUAUUACAUCUCUUGCUUUUUUUUCUUCAUAUCUUUUAUCAAGUAAAACACUUUUUCAAUAUACAACAUCUUGUAAUAUAAAAAAAAAGCAAAAUAACUUCUGUAUUACAAUUUAUUAAAAACAAAUUCUAUGAAAAUUAAGCAUAUUGCACUACAUGAUCGUUUUUUUUUAACUAAAUGACUUCAAUCAUGUUAACGUAUAGUUUUGAUGUAUAAAAUUAACAAUAAGCUGUGACAGUGUCAUCGACCGUCUUUCGUUACCGAUGAGGAAAACUGUACAAACUGUGAAACCACAGUUUAAACCCAAACCAAAAGCACUGCAUAGUAUACAUGGUAUAUAUGUAAUACCACCACAUGGUAUACAUCGACAUCGGUUUCAAACAAAAAGGGUCGAACAACAAAUAUGUUUCCUGAUUUGAAAGUUGUGGGAAAUAAGCCCAACAUUACGUUGGAGAAAAAAAAUCUGAGUCAUAAACAUCCAUACCGGUAUAUAGGUACUUUGAAUAAUUAUCCUUUUUUUAUUUGGUGUUUCUAUAAAAUAUUUUUGAAAGUUGAGGUGAUAUGAUUACUAAAGCUUGUAAACAGGGAAAAGGGUUGACAAUUUGAUUGGUUAACUCCUAGGGAUAGCUAUUAUCGUAUACUAUGAACAGAAAUUUUAUGUGUAAUUUUGACUUCAGUACUGGACCGGAUAAUAUUUUACUACUUAAUAUGAAAAAAGAGAAUUUCUGCAAAAUCUUUUUGAAAAAUGCCCAUUUAACAAUUUAUAAUAUGGAAAUACAAAGAUGGUAUAACUCCUAUUUGGGGAAGCGGCACAUGCACACUUGACCAUGUACGUACUCUAAACGCUAAAGUAGAAUAUUGCAAAAUUGAAAUAUUCAGAGUGGAUAGAGUCUCAAAAACACAUGUGUUGGAAAAAUCAUUUUAAAGAUAGCUAUGCUAUGAAUAGAGCAAGUCAUACUCAGUAUUUUUGGGAACUUUUUCUGACUUUGUCUUCUUAUUUCGUAUAUUUUGCUAAAAAGAAAGUAUACAGUAAGAUGUAAAUGAAAUGAUUUUUGAAGCAGUACAAACAUUGAUCCACAUUUAAAAUUAAAAACUUGAUUGUUACAGUACAUAAAUUAUACGAUAAGGUUAAGGAAUUGCAAAAGUAAACUAUACAAUAUCAGUACAGAAUAAGUACCAAAAAGCUAUUGUACAUUCAAAGUAAUAAUAUACAAUAACCAUUAAUAUUUAGUACUGGAAAAGUACAUGAUUUUGUAGUACUUGUUUGUUAAUUAUUCAGAUAUAUUUUUAGCUCAAUAGUUCGAGUAAAAAUGUAGUCAUAGAAAAUUAGUGUACUGAAAAAGUACAUGUACGUAGUACUUUUCAGCUACAUUACUAAUAUUUCAAAAUUACAUUACUAAUGGAAAAGGAACUUUGAUUAAGCAGCAGUGUAGUGAAACACCACAUGCAAUUCUUGUUCAUCUUCCCGAUUGUCAUCUCAGAUUCCAAGAAAUUGGUGCACUAAUGUCUCUGUGGGUGAGGAGGUGAGGGAGGGGAGUUAUACUGCCAUCACCAGACGUUGAUGAUGAUAUGUGGAUGUUUUACGUCCGGCUAUCCUGUCUGGAUAUUGCGGACUGAAAAAAACUAUUUACAGACCUGUGUCUGUUUGUCGUUUGGCCUUCAUUUUACUCCGACUGCGUUGUUGUGACUGGUACGGAGUAUCAGGUCGUUCUGUUAGCAUGGCUUUUUGAAUUGCCUCUUUUGAUUCAAUGUGAAGGGCGAUGUGUGUGGUGGUGUGUGCAGUAGGUCUGGGUCGUUGAUGUCAAACCCUUCAUCGAAGUCGAUCCUACUGCGCUUGCCUCUGUCUGUUGUGGAGGUGAAUUAUUCCAGGCGAUGGCAGGCCUUGUUGGGGUUGUAAGGACUGGUGACAAUAUCACAUGAAGUAGUCCCUCUCAUCUCUUAUAAAUGUUUCCCUGUUGUGUCAUUGCAUUGGCUAGGACUAUGUCUGAAUUUAUAUUAUAGAUAUUAGUACGUCACUCUUUAGUUUUGAUGAUUCAUCUUCGACAAGGAAAAGCAACUUUCUUCAAAAACAUGUUCUACUUCAUGUUUGUAUAAGCAAAAUUCGCAUAUUCAAUUUUGAAAGCAUCAUGUGUAUGCUGCAUGAAACUGAAUUCGUAAUGCGAGUAUUUAAUAUCGUUGGUGUCUCCAUUAUUCAACAAUUGAAAUAAUAAGUAUACAACAUUUUCAGAAGUUAAUGCAUAAACUAUAAACUUUAACAAUGUUAAGCAAUACGACAUCAACAAAAAUACCAAAAUGACCGACGUCAUCAAUGUACACAAAUUUCUAAUCCCCCAUUACGACAAAUGAAAUGCCAAAAAUGUACUUUCCGAAUAAGUAUAAGCUAACAAGGUGAAUGGUUCACAUACCAUGACAUAAAACGUGUUCAGUGGGUAUUUUCUUAAAGGUAUAUGAGAAAUAUGUUUAUCUGUUAAUCAAAUUGUUUUGUAGAUAUGCUGUUUCCCAUCUUUUCUGUCUGGCUUUCUUUGAUUUAUACUUGUACAAUAACAAUAAGUAUGCUAUCUGUAUUAGCAGAACACUAUAAUUUAUAUGAUCAGACGACAGUUAAAAAUGCGAAUAGACAUAUCUGACUUUGGCACAUUCUUGAUGUAUUGGUACUUACAGUGGCGAGUCCAGAGGGUUCGGGGGUUGGAACCGCCCUUUUGGACGAUCAAUGCAUUUGAAUAGGUACAUAUAUUUGGAACUCCUGUAGCAGUUUCUCCUCGGUUGGAAUUCCAUUUUAAAAAUGGUUGAAUCCGCCCCAAGUCCAUUUCUAGGAACCUAGUUGUAUUAUAUAUUGGUACUAAAUAUCACCAUGCCAAAAAGAUUGAAUUUUAGGUAAUCUUUCAUGUCUUACGUUUUUGUUGAUAUGACCUGCAAAGCCACAGUAAACUUCACCUAAUAUUUAAUACAACCAGGGGCGGAUCCAGGAUUUUGGAAAGGGGGGCGAAUUUUUUUUUUUGACAUUUUUUUGGCUAAAAAAAUAAAAUAAGUGUAAAAUGCACUUUUAAAACGGUUCCUGGCUUUGGGCAUGUAUAUUUUAUAGUUGUGGUAAAGUGUAAGGGUUAAACAUUUUUGAUGCCGUACUCUCCCCAUUUUAAAGUGUCUAUUAUAAAAUGAUUGGAUAGAUCCAAAGCUAUGGACUAAUAUAUUUGAUGUGGACUUGUCAGUAAAAAAUUGAGAUGGAAAAUUCUCGUUUGUUGUAUGUUUAGUUAGUAUAACCUCACAAAUUUCUUGUUGUAAACAAGAUUUACGCUGAGGUAUUCAAUGAAAUUUACAAUAUGACCGACCCGAGUUAAGACACAAACAAGCAAUUUCUAUAUCAAAAUGUUUCCAAAUUUGAAAUGUUUCAGCCAACAAGAGAAGUGAGGGGUUCCAACUCAACCAAAGGAUACGAAUGAGUCUGAAAUGACAACGAAUUUAUGAAUUAUGGUCGAUAAAGGCCACACGAAGCAGGUUGGUUGUAGCCGGGCCUUGAAAAAAGUGUUCAAUAUAUCUGUUCGGCGAAACAGACUUUCCGGUCAGAUAUGGGAUUUACAUGCAAACCCCCGGCCCCCCAAAAACUACGUCCGUUUAUAAUUCAUCAUGAUCAUUUAAUGCUAAAUAUUUCUGUUGGAAAUUUUUGUUCCUAAUGGCAAAUAAGUGGACAAGAUUAUUGUUUUCAAUCAAUUCAAUUUUUGUUUAAGGCAAAAAUCAGGCUAAGAAUAGUUUCUCUCAAACAUCGCAGACUGCCACCUCAAAUCAAAUGGUCCGUACCUUAGACUUUAAAUCUAUCUAGAGCUUACUGACUGCAUGGGGAUCAUUAUUCAGCUAUGUUAUUAAUAGACUGCAGGGCGUGUGGGGUUAACAUGUUUUCGUAGGUAAAUAAUAUUGCAGUGAAUCUUUUUUUUUCAUGAGAGUGUAAUAGAGUAUUACUUUCUGUUUGGUGGAAUUGUGAAAUAGAAGUCAACUAGUCUACGUUCUUGUUCAAUUCUUUGUCGCUUUAAAGGUGUCAUGCCACGGGGGGUCUCAACAUGGGAUUUUGGGUACAGGUGUGCAGCUGGGAUUUUAAAAACACCCCCCCCAUUCAUAUAUUGAAUAAUGUGAAAUCCUACCUAUAAUAUAUUUACAGCGAAAUCAUAACCCAUUCAUAUAUUUAUCAGCUCAAAUAGUACCUAUAUGCAUAUCUGAUAUACAAUCGUCAAUUACUACCUAUUGAUAUAUUCCUCGGUAAAUGCACCCAUUGAUAUAUUGACGGAUCAAAAAGGGCCCAUUCAGCGGCACAUAUGUAUAUACUUUAUAUAGGAAGAGACCCCCCCUUCCCCCCGUGUGUCAUGCGUGUCAUCCUUGAUGACCAGCAUACGCAAUGUGCUACUGUAAUUUGAAUUUGGAAAUGACUUGAGUGACGUUUUUUCGACGCACUGGUUAACUCCACCGUAGCAAAUCACAUGACUUUGACAUAACCAAUAAUUACAGUUUAUCGGUAAUUUGUAUAUUUUUCUUUAUUGUACUGUGAUAAUGUCAGUAUCAGUGGACUGCCGUGAUUUAAAAUUGGGUUAGUGCAAUUGACAUGCGCGAAUACAACGCGUAAGGAUCUACUUUCCCCUUUCAUUCACAAAAUUGCGCGUGAUUUUUUUCGCAGAAACGCACGAGAUUUUUAGCGAAUGAAACACUUUACAUUGUUUGAAACUUUUACAAAGUUAGUUUAGCCUUUUGAACGAUUGAUUCAAAAUGUAAACAAAAAUGCAUGAAAAGCGAUAGACUUUUAAAAAAAAAUGAGUUAUCUAUAAUUGAUAUAUUAAUACAUGACUAACAUUAUUAUAUCGUCCAUGAUGUUCCAAUCGAGUUUUAUGCAUACAAUACCAAUCAUAGCCGGGUGCUGUUCCAAGUAGUUUUCUUUUUCUGUUUCUUGAGAAGUAUUUGUUUUACCUGUUCAGUCACUAUAAAGUGUUACAAUUCAUAUUUAAACGCAACACAUAAAUAGUGACCAAAAAGGUACCGCUAUCGCAUGAGAGAAGCUAGAAAAUAAUGGUCAAUUUAAAGACAGAUAUUCAUAGAACAAAAAACCAAAAAGUGAACUUAUUCAUUUGCGGAUCUACAUGUAGGAUAAAUUUUAAAAAGGGGGGUAACCGGGGUCACCAAACUAUACAUGUAUAAAGGUCUGCUUUGACCUGAAUUGUAGCCUUUAUAAGCUAAGAGGUGACUGACACGGGUCGCCUUCCCUAAAUUCGCAUAAGAAAUUAAAGGUAACCACAGGGACUGUAAACUCCAAUUUUCAUAAUUUCUGGUCCGUGUUGAAAAUAGAUGAACAAGACUUUGACAAAAGCAAGAAUUAUAUUAAGCUAAAAGUUUAGUGACGUCUAUUAAAAUGUUUGAAAUAAUUAUGAAGUAGACAAGAAAUUAGCUUGUUCAGAUAAUUUACAAAUAACUUUAACAGUCACUCAGCUCCUAAAAUGUCUCCUCACAUAGUCCAAAUAAUCAUGAUGAAAAAAUAUAAUAGACUUUCAAGACGUCAUAAUUAUUUGGACUACUCCCCAGUGCUUUCUUAAAAUUAUUUGAAAUCAAUGUGAUCGUUUUCAUGAUGAACACUGUCACUGAGCGAAUAAUGACAAGAUAAAUGUUAUUGUAUCCACUAAACUAAGUAAAAUAUAAUUAUAAUAACUUGUCGUUGAACUUAAAAAUGAUGAUCGAUGAACAAUCUGCUUAUUCAUAUCGUAUCAUUCUAAUGUUCUGACUUACUAUGCUCGAGGGGGGUCAUGGAUGCAUGGAUAGGACCUUUAUCGGGACUUCGGGAUCAGGUGUUUUUAAGCUCGUGAUUUCGGGAUGUCGGGAUUUACUUUAUUUAAAAUCGGGACCUCGUGAUUUCGUGUUUUUAAACGGGCCGGGAUUUCGGGAUCAGGAACCCUCCUAUCCCCCUCUAUGUUGAUGCUUUGUGAAAAAUACAGAAAUUUUACUUACCGGUAUGCUACCAUUAUAUUUGCCAUCGUUAGAGUCAUGUCCAAAGCAGAAUAUUAAUGAAACACAUGCAAUAAUUCCUUCAAAUCUUUAACUUUGUGCAAGAGAACGCCAUGUUUACUGCACUGUGACAAAAUUUAAAUGACGUAAUGCAGCCUGUGACGUCAAGUGUGAUUCGCCGUGAUCCAACGCGAAAAAGAAGUUCGUUUGUUAUUUUCUCUAUUAUUGUAGUGAUUUUUAAUUUUUUUUAAAUUACCGAUAAACAGAAUAAAGGACUUUUUGUUUUUGAUACUGACUUUAUCACAGAAAAUAUCAGGCUCGCCCUUCGGGCUCACCUGAUAUUUUACUGUGAUAAAGUCAGUAUCAAAAACAAAAAGUCCUUUAUUCUAUAUAUAUAGGAGCAAAAUAUACCUUUAUAAGUAACGAAUUGUCGCAUAAAAACAAAAUACACGGGCAAUGACAAAUUUCACGAAGUCUAUAGUCUAUUUGAUUUUUUUACAAAGUCCAAACACAAAAGGGGGCGUACGCCCUCUACGCCCCCCCCCUCUGAAUCCGCCACUGUAGAUGGAAAAGGGUAUUUAUAAGCCCAAGAGUUAUCACACUUCAUUAUAAAUAAAGUGGAGUUUUUAUUACGUCGUCUUUCAUGUCACAGGAAACGAUAUAAGCAUAUGAUGGUCUUAUAUUUGUGAACUAGUUACGUUGUUAAGUCCGCUUGGCUCAAUUUUAGACCAAACAUUUCCACAGGUCUGCGUAUCUUCAUCAAGAUGCACUUGCGGUAGCCAACGACGUUUUACGACGCAGACUUUUGAGAAAAAGUCCAGAGCACUUUUUUUUGCGAUUUAUCCAUGCAUUUUGUUUACUUAUAAAUGAACUAAAUGAUCAUAAGGUAAAGACCACACAUACUGCUUCUGAAAUGAUUGGACGAUAUUCUCAUAUUCUCAUUUUGUUACAUUCGGAUACCUCUAUGUGUACAUGCAAUUAUGUUUUUAUUUAUUUUUUAUUAUUUGUAUUUAUCAAAAUGAUAUGUGGAUGCCUGAGCAUCUGAGCAUACAUGUAAGCUACGCCACUUGCUUUUAGUUUUAGUGUUACUGUGUAUAUGACCAAUGAAUGGCUCCUUUAAGAGACUGAGUUAUUGCCCUUUAAUAAGGAUUUUUAGACUUGAUUUUCAAGUUUUUUCCUUUUGCAUUAUAAAUGCACACAAUAAUUUCUAAAUUUACAAUAUGUGAUCACAGAUUGCACAGUUGUGACAGUGAUUUAUAAUAGUAUAUGAAUUUUAAAGUUAUAAUUUGUUCUCACUUGGUUGUUUUGAUAAUUUUCUUUCUUUCUAUUUUAGGUGUAUAUCCCGCUGUACAAUCAGACUAUCGUAGCAACCGUAGACAAAAUAGACAUAAAACCUAUUAUCCUGCCUAUCAAGCAAAUAAAGGGUAUAAUAGACAAUUUCC